rnacentral:rRNA from 1 species
AGUCUAGCAUGUGCGCGAGUCAUUGGGACUCAAUAAACCUAAAGGCGCAAUGAAAGUGAAAGUCUGUUUACGCGGACUUAGGGAGGAUAGGUGCGUACAGGUUGUGUACAACCUCGCACUCCCGGGGCGUCUCGCACUCAUUGCGAGGUGGGGCGCACCAAGAGCGUACACGCUGGGACCCGAAAGAUGGUGAACUAUGCCUGGUCAGGACGAAGUCAGGGGAAACCCUGAUGGAGGUCCGUAGCGAUUCUGACGUGCAAAUCGAUCGUCGGAACUGGGCUUAGGGGCGAAAGACUAAUCGAACCAUCUAGUAGCUGGUUCCCACCGAAGUUUCCCUCAGGAUAGCUGGCAUUAGAUUAUGGAUGAGUCUCAUCCGGUAAAGCGAAUGAUUAGAGGCAUUGGGGUCGAAACGGCCUCAACCUAUUCUCAAACUUUAAAUGGGUGAGAUCUCCGGCUUGCUCGAUUUAUGAAGCCGGAGAUCGGAUCAAUUAGUGCCAAGUGGGCCACUUUUGGUAAGCAGAACUGGCGCUGUGGGAUGAACCAAACGCAGAGUUAAAGCGCCAAAAUCGACGCUUAUGGGAUACCAUGAAAGGCGUUGGUAACUUAAGACAGCAGGACGGUGGCCAUGGAAGUCGGA